rnacentral:rRNA from 1 species
UACAGAGGGGGCAAGCGUUGUUCGGAAUUACUGGGCGUAAAGGGCGCGUAGGCGGCCAACUAAGUCAGACGUGAAAUCCCAUGGCUCAACCAUGGAACUGCGUCUGAUACUGGAUGGCUUGAGUUCGGGAGAGGGAAGUGGAAUUCCAGGUGUAGCGGUGAAAUGCGUAGAUAUUGGGAGGAACACCAGUGGCGAAGGCGGCUCACUGGACCGGAACUGACGCUGAGGCGCGAAAGCGUGGGGAGCAAACGGG